GAGUCUGCUUUCCCUCCCCUGAGGCUGGCGCCCUGGCACCUGCUCUGACGGUGGCAGCAGGAGGCUGUGCCACUUUGGCCACACAGCCUGGCGGCCUUUGCCGUCCUUCUCUUGGGAGACAGCUGCCACAUGGUGGAGAAACUCAGGUCACCCUCUUGAAUAAUAGGGGGACAGGAGGGAAAAUGCUCUGGAGGGGCAAAGGCCAUCUCAGAGGUCCCAUCAUCACCAAGUCCCCAGCAGAGCACAGCUGCACAGUGACGUUGGUCACACCACGUGGAACAGAAAUGUGUCGGGGCAGGGUGGUCAGUCGCAGAAUCGUGAGAAAUCAUGUUCCAAUAGCCAGAACUGAGCUGGUGUUGGUGCUCAGUUUCGAGGUGGCUGGUCACACUGCAGAGGGUGACCACCAUUGUGCGUCACUUAACCACGGGGCGUGGCCUGAGGAAUGCAUCCUUAGGUGAUUUUGUCACUGUGGGAACGCCGUAGAGUGGAGUUGUCUAAACCUGGAUGGGCAGCCUACCGUCCACACCUGGGCCGUACACUGUGUACACCAGGUUCCGUCAAUGGCCAGCUGCAGCCCUGCAAUCGAGAGACCUGGUAAAAACAGGGAGCAUGAGGUGGUGGCUGGCAAAAUAUGGGGCGCCGUUUACAAUGAUUUUCCUUCACCAAGUAGAAGAAUACUUGAAAACAAUGACAAAAAGGAUCGUACAGUACAUGCACAGCCAGCAACUUGGCUGUUCAUGAUCAUCAGCAGGUGCCACUGCACACAGUCACCUGUGCUGUACUUCCCCGUGACUGGCAGCUCCGGAGGCUUGCACACACCAUCACCACAAACACACGAGGAGUACCGUGUGCUGCGAUCUUACCCUGCUGGGACAUUGCUAGAUUAAUCAGUGGGAUCCAGCUCAGCCAGAAGCAAGCCCAGCCCAGCUCUUUAUGGUGGACACCACGAGGAGUCAGAGGACACACAGCCUUGGAGCUGAGACCCCCUCCUGCUGACCCUCACGUGCCCAGGCACCAUCUUGGGAAGGACAAGGGAAAGGAACCAGUUGGAAAGGCUGGUAUGGCAGACAGAAUAAUGUCCCCCAUACACGGGGGACCACAUCCCAGCCCUGCACACUGACAGUUGCCUUACGGGACAAAGGCCUGGCGAUGGCCUUACGUGGCAAGGGGAAGUUAAGAUUGCAGAAGGAAUUGAGGUUGCCCAUCAGCUGACUUUAAAAUAGGGAGAUUAUCUGGGAUUAUCUGGGUGGGCUCAGUGUAAUCUUGGGUCCUACGUGUGGAAAAAGGAGGUCAGAGGGAAGAGAUGUGGGCACUCUAGCCUCAGGUGCUGGCUUGGAAGUGAGGAAAACACCAGGAACCACAGGGUGGACCUUGAAGCUGGGAAAUGCAAAGAAAUACACUGUUCCCUGCAGCCUCCAGAGAGGGUCACGGCCCGAGGACACCUUGACCUUAGCCUGUAUUGGGUUUCCAAACUACAGAAGCAGCAGAUGACAAACAUGCUGUUGUAAAGCACUACAGUGUGUUAAUUCUUUCAGAGCAGCAACAGAAAACUAAUGCAGGAGAGCAGUGAGGAAUGGGAUGAUUCAAAAUCAGGUUCUCAAUCUGGAAAAGACGGAGCAGGCUUUCAGGAGCAAUUUGACAUCAUUUUCUCCCAUCUUCCGGCAUGACUAAGGCUGGAAAAGCAAGAUUAGAUUUUUAUGGACUCUAAGAGAGCUACCUUUUACAUCUCCACUCCCGAGUAGAGCGAGUUAAAUUUGGGAUCUUGUUGCACCUUUGUUCCCAGGCUCCGUUUUCUGUUAAAAUGAACUCCCGUGGGAGAGCCUCCCAUUAAGCUUUCCUGAGCGUGCUGAUCCGAUCGCUUCCGAAACAGGCCUGCGUGAGGGGAGCGUGGAGGAUUCUGGGAAUAGGAGGCAUACAACGGCCAGGGGUCCUGAACCAGAGGACACAGCGGAUACCCCAGCACGGGGCUGUCCUGGAACAGAGCUGUUACCAGUCCCACCCAGUGUCUCUCCUCACAGUCUCGGGCCAUACACUGGGCACCGUGUGCGGGGAGCGCCAGCAGGAGUCCAGCGGGCCCAGCAACCCAGGCCUUCCUUUUGCUUUGCUUCCUCCCAGGGCAUUUUAGGUUCCAUCGGAAUCCCACAUUUCGUGUUGACCCUUAAUCUCCAAAGUCAAGCCUUCUCGAAUCAAAGGUUAGAUCGUUUUCAAAGUUCAAAAUACAUGCUGUCUCCGUUA